rnacentral:ribozyme from 1 species
CAGGACACACUAAGACAGGAGAGACAAGGAAGCAAGGAGCAUGUCGGACGGGGAGAAC